rnacentral:rRNA from 1 species
AGUGAACGCUGGCGGUAGGCCUAACACAUGCAAGUCGAACGGCAGCACAGUAAGAGCUUGCUCUUACGGGUGGCGAGUGGCGGACGGGUGAGGAAUACAUCGGAAUCUACUUUUUCGUGGGGGAUAACGUAGGGAAACUUACGCUAAUACCGCAUACGACCUACGGGUGAAAGCAGGGGAUCUUCGGACCUUGCGCGAUUGAAUGAGCCGAUGUCGGAUUAGCUAGUUGGCGGGGUAAAGGCCCACCAAGGCGACGAUCCGUAGCUGGUCUGAGAGGAUGAUCAGCCACACUGGAACUGAGACACGGUCCAUCCUCCUACGGGAGGCAGCAGUGGGGAAUAUUGGACAAUGGGCGCAAGCCUGAUCCAGCCAUCCCGCGUGGGUGAAGAAGGCCUUCGGGUUGUAAAGCCCUUUUGUUGGGAAAGAAAAGCAGCAGGUUAAUACCCCGCUGUUCUGACGGUACCCAAAGAAUAAGCACCGGCUAACUUCGUG